GACAGAGGGGGCAAGCGUUGCUCGGAAUUACUGGGCGUAAAGGGCGCGUAGGCGGGAUGGCAAGUCGGUCGUGAAAUCCCUCGGCUCAACCGAGGAACGUCGAUCGAUACUGCUGUUCUUGAGGAUUGCAGAGGAGACUGGAAUUCCCGGUGUAGCGGUGAAAUGUGUAGAGAUCGGGAGGAACACCAGUGGCGAAGGCGACUACCUGGCCUGUUCUUGACGCUGAGGCGCGAAAGCUAGGGGAGCAAACGGG
rnacentral:rRNA from 1 species